AUUGAACGCUGGCGGCAUGCCUUACACAUGCAAGUCGAACGGUAACAGGUUAAGCUGACGAGUGGCGAACGGGUGAGUAAUGUAUCGGAACGUGCCCAGUCGUGGGGGAUAACUACUCGAAAGAGUGGCUAAUACCGCAUACGACCUGAGGGUGAAAGCGGGGGACCGUAAGGCCUCGCGCGAUUGGAGCGGCCGAUAUCAGAUUAGCUAGUUGGUGGGGUAAAAGCCCACCAAGGCGACGAUCUGUAGCUGGGCUGAGAGGACGACCAGCCACAAUGGGACUGAGACACGGCCCAGACUCCUACGGGAGGCAGCAGUGGGGAAUUUUGGACAAUGGACGCAAGUCUGAUCCAGCCAUGCCGCGUGCGGGAAGAAGGCCUUCGGGUUGUAAACCGCUUUUGUCAGGGAAGAAACGAGUUUCUCUAAUACAGAGACUUAAUAACGGUACCUGAAGAAUAAGCACCGGCUAACUACGUGCCAGCAGCCGCGGUAAUAC
rnacentral:rRNA from 1 species